GUACUGAUGAAGAGUCCCAAAUUAGGACGAAACAGCUGUCCAAGUAC
rnacentral:hammerhead_ribozyme from 1 species